rnacentral:rRNA from 1 species
UGGGGAAUAUUGCACAAUGGGGGAAACCCUGAUGCAGCGACGCCGCGUGAACGAAGAAGGUAUUCGUAUCGUAAAGUUCUGUCCUAUGGGAAGAUAAUGACAGUACCAUAGAAGAAAGCUCCGGCUAAAUACGUGCCAGCAGCCGCGGUAAUACGUAUGGAGCGAGCGUUGUCCGGAAUUAUUGGGCGUAAAGGGUACGCAGGCGGUUUAAAAAGUCGAAUGUUAAAGAUCGGGGCUCUACCCCGCAAAGCAUUGGAAACUGAUAAACUUGAGUAGUGGAGAGGAAAGUGGAAUUCCUAGUGUAGUGGUGAAAUACGUAGAUAUUAGGAGGAAUACCAGUAGCGAAGGCGACUUUCUGGACACAAACUGACGCUGAGGUACGAAAGCGUGGGGAGCAAACAGG